UUCGUUCGGAUUCCAAUUCAAA
rnacentral:miRNA from 1 species